rnacentral:tRNA from 1 species
ACUUAGCUGGCUCAGUCAGUAGAGCAUGUGACUUUUGAUCUUGGGAUUGUGAGUGUAAGCCCCAUGUUGAGUG